CUCGGGGACUGCAUCUGCCUGAUGAGCCCCAGGAAGGGCGAAAUAGGUC
rnacentral:hammerhead_ribozyme from 13 species